rnacentral:rRNA from 1 species
GUUUGAUCAUGGCUCAGAACGAACGCUGGCGGCGUGCCUCAUACAUGCAAGUCGAACGAGAAAGCCCGGCUUCGGUUGGGUUAGUAAAGUGGCGCACGGGUGCGUAACACGUGAGGAACAUGCCCCUAUAUCGGGGAUAAGCCUGCGAAAGCGGGUCUAAUACCGGAUGUUGUCAUUGGAUCGCAUGGUUCGAUGAUUAAAGGCGGUUGAGUCUAUGCCGUCGUAUAGGGAUUGUCUCGCGGCCCAUUAGCUAGUUGGCGGUGUAAUAGACCACCAAGGCUCCGAUGGGUAGCCGACCUGAGAGGGUGACCAGCCACACUGGGACUGAGAUACGGCCCAGACUCCUACGGGAGGCAGCAGUAGGGAAUAUUGGACAAUGGGGGAAACCCUGAUCCAGCAACGCCGCGCGGAUGAUGAAGCUUUUUGGAGUGUAAAAUCCUGUCAGUGGGGACGAAACGUCCGGGUAGGAAAUGCCCCGGGCCUGACUGUACCCGCAGAGGAAGUUCCGGCCAACUCCGUGCCAGCAGCCGCGGUAAUACGGGGGGAACGAGCGUUGUUCGGAUUUACUGGGCGUAAAGGGCACGCAGGCGGGGAGACAAGUCAGAUGUGAAAACCCAUAGCUUAACUCUGGGCCUGCAUUUGAUACUGUUUCUCUUGAGUACGGGAGAGGAUGGCGGAAUUCUUGGUGUAGCGGUGAAAUGCGUAGAUAUCAAGAAGAACACCGGUGGCGAAGGCGGCCAUCUGGCCCGAUACUGACGCUCAUGUGCGAAGGCAAGGGGAGCAAACAGGAUUAGAUACCCUGGUAGUCCUUGCAGUAAACGAUGGAUACUAGGUGUUGGAGGUAUCGACUCCUCCAGUGCCGCAGCUAACGCAUUAAGU